GCACCCAGCAUCCCCUGCUCUGAGCACUGACACGCCAGGAGGGCUUCCCUGCGCGAAUGGAAGAUCAAGGGAUUCCACCUUAAAUAAAAUAUCAGUCUGUUCUGGCGAGUUUGGGGACCAGGGAAACUGACGCAAACGUGCUGAUACUCAUGUCGCUCGCUGUAUGUUGAGUGAUGAAGCCCUUUAUCUCUGGCCCAAGCGUUUCAUCUCUUCUGCCAGCAUCCAUGGAACAGUAUCAUUCCAUUUUUGGCCCUGUACCCCAAAUGGUGGAUAAUCAGGAGCUGGCAGCAUCCCGAUACCUACAUCUGCUCCUCACUCCCUUCCCCUCCUGAUAACGGCAUUUUGGAGAAUCCAGAGGCAGAAGCUGCAAGCUGGGGCUGACAUAUUAAAAAAUGUCACCAACAAUGAGGACUUCAUGUUCCAGGCAGUGGCUCUGCCUUUUGAAGAAGGAGGUUAAGUUCUGUGAAGAGAGAAGACAUGGAAUAUCACACCCCAUUCCAGCCACAGUAGUGAAGGAACCCCAUAACCAACCUUCCCAGCACUCUUAGAUAAUGGAGUGAAGGAAAGGAACCCAGGAAAAGGGUUAGAAGUGGGGGAAAAAAAACAUUCAGGAGAAACAAAUUGUUGUAGAGCAGAAAGAAACUGUUGAUUUUACUUGGAGAGAGUUAAGUGAAAUAAGUCUAUAUAAGAUCCAAAAUAGUGUCUCCUUGCAUUUCUAAAUACACUUAGGGGCAAGCACACUUCGUAGUACCCAACACAGCACUAUGACUUGUUGAAAGAGAAAACAAAGCUUUGUGCUUCCACCUAACACGAAGCAAUUAUGCUUUGCACAAAAGAAUAUCCUCUUAUCUUAUCCAUUGUUGGAAAGAUAUAACUUAGAAAAAGACAAAGAAAUACUACUACUCAUAGUAAUCAACCUACCAUUGGUAAACAUUAAUAACAAAUAGCAAUAAUGAAAUAUUCAAGCAAUCCUCAGAGUUGCACUGAGUUCCAAAGUAUAUAAACUGGCAUGGAUGCAUCAACAGGGGCUAGCUCAGCAGCAUUACCUAAAUGCUAUGUUGCUGUAUCAGGUGUUGCCCUUGUUGGCACAGUUUACUGGGCCUUACAAGGGUUUUGCUGCCAGGAAAAACAGUGGGCAAGGGGGGACUGGGCCCCCAGUUUGUUCUGACACUCCAAUGAAACUUUCAAGUUACAACAUUUUCAAAUAUUUUUUUUCCUUGUAGCAACAUUUUGGAGGAUCUUAGCAAGACUUUGUGGGUAAAAUGUCCUUAAAACAAGUUGAACACCUGAUAAUAUGAUAAGAGCUUUCUUCCACGAACAGGUGUGCUUGUGAAUGGAUAAAAUACCACUUCCCACUGCCAACGCUGGACACACAGGGCUCACUUAACCUUGCUUAAAUAAUUGCUUGUGAUAAGCCUCGGGUGUGGAGACCCGGUGCAUACAGAGCGGCGAGGGAAGCUUCAGUCUGUCGUCUGGGGAAGGGAAUCGAUGGAUUAACAUAUUGAAAUGAUCUCAAUUAAUGCCCUUUAAUGGUUGUCUUCAAAAAAGGAGGACCUCUCCAAAAUGAAUGGCUGACUCCUUACCAACAGGACAAAAAAAAACCUAUUAGGAAGAUAAUGCGUUUACCUGCUUGAGGAAAGAGGAUCUCUUCUGAGUGGAUUUCUUAAGAAACAAAAAUACAUGUGUACACUGUUUUUUCCACUGAGUCUGAUAUUGCAAUGUUACUCGUGUAUCUCGCUUCAUAACAUCCACACCUGUGCCCCCUGUUGCUUAUCGCCAAGACCCUAAACUGGACAACACUACGGCUUUGGUGUCAAAAGCCCUAAAGUGGAACUUCAAUAAAUGAGACCUCUUUGUUUAAAUGAUCACUUUAGCACGCAAUUGUGAUCAUUUCAAUGGAACGUGAGCCGUGACCUUCAGGCUCUUGUGUGCCUGCUGUACAGCCCCUUCUCUUCUCUGUCCCCCAUUGUCACUCUCCCCACCACCCUCUCUAUUCUGGCCUGAAUGCCCCCAGAAACUUAAGCAGAAGCAAACCUGGACGUGGUGGCUGCUUCUGCGGAGUGGUAACGUCUUGGGGAAUAUUCAAGGAUUUUUGUUGGAUAACAAUGAAAACAGCCACUGGUGCUGGGUUUUUGCUAACAACAAGUCUCUGAAGUGGUAUUGCUACCAUCCUUUCUUCAGAUGAGAAAAUUAGGUUUGGAGAGUAAAUAAGGGCCCAGGGUCACACUCCUAUUGCCGCUGCUGAAACCAAGAAAGAGGGUGGAGAGGGGCCGUUGUUAGCAGCAUUUUUCCUUCCCUAACAUCCCUGCCUACUGAGAAAAAAAUAAGAAAUUAAAUGCCUUCCCCUUUCCUGCCCUGUUUGAUGACUUGAAAGGUAGAAGAGAACAUUUCUAUUUGCUAUUUUGUUGUACUCCUUCUGAUGAUAAUUACUGACCUCAGCGAGGGA